GACGAACGCUGGCGGCGUGCCUAAUACAUGCAAGUAGAACGCUGAAGGAGGAGCUUGCUUCUCUGGAUGAGUUGCGAACGGGUGAGUAACGCGUAGGUAACCUGCCUGGUAGCGGGGGAUAACUAUUGGAAACGAUAGCUAAUACCGCAUAAUAGUAGAUGUUGCAUGACAUUUGCUUAAAAGGUGCAAUUGCAUCACUACCAGAUGGACCUGCGUUGUAUUAGCUAGUUGGUGGGGUAACGGCUCACCAAGGCGACGAUACAUAGCCGACCUGAGAGGGGGAUCGGCCACACUGGGACUGAGACACGGCCCAGACUCCUACGGGAGGCAGCAGUAGGGAAUCGUCGGCAAGGGACGGAAGUCUGACCGAGCAACGCCGCGUGAGUGAAGAAGGUUUUCGGAUCGUAAAGCUCGGUUGUAAGAGAAGAACGAGUGUGAGAGUGGAAAGUUCACAGUGUGACGGUAACUUACCAGAAAGGGACGGCUAACUACGUG
rnacentral:rRNA from 1 species